GAGGUGACCUCGAAGCUUCCAUUCAGAAGAUCGUUGACAUCGUCACCCAAAGGUCAAUGAUGUGCCACUCCACCAGCCUCAGUGUACUCAUAGACUAGCACUGGUAUCAGACGGUGCCCCUCCCGCCAACCCCAGAUUAGCAUUGGCUACAAUCCAUCUAAGGAACCCAGCAGCAGACGGCACGCGGCAGCGUCGAUAAGCAAGG